rnacentral:rRNA from 1 species
GUGGGGAAUAUUAGGCAAUGGGGGAAACCCUGACCUAGCAACGCCGCGUGAGGGAUGAAGGUUUUCGGAUUGUAAACCUCUUUGGCAGGGGACGAUAAUGACGGUACCCUGAGAACAAGCCACGGCUAACUACGUGCCAGCAGCCGUGGUAAUACGUAGGUGGCAAGCGUUGUCCGGAUUUACUGGGUGUAAAGGGCGAGUAGGCGGGAUAGAAAGUCAGAUGUGAAAUACCGAGGCUUAACUUCGGGGCUGCAUUUGAAACUUCUGUUCUUGAGUGCUGGAGAGGCAGGCGGAAUUCCCGGUGUAGCGGUGAAAUGCAUAGCGAUCGGGAGGAACACCAGUGGCGAAGGCGGCCUGCUGGACAUUAACUGACGCUGAGGCGCGAAAGUGUGGGGAGCAAACAGGAUUAGAUACCCGGGUAGUCC